UCUGGUUGAUCCUGCCAGAGGUUACUGCUAUCGAGGUUCGACUAAACCAUGCGAGUCGAAUGUAGCAAUACAUGGCGAACUGCUCAGUAACACGUGGACAACCUGCCCUUAGGUUGGGUAUAAACCCGGGAAACUGGGUAUAAUACCCGAUAGGUCUCGAUUGCUGGAAUGCAUCGAGAUUUAAAGCUCCGGCGCCUAAGGAUGGGUCUGCGGCCUAUCAGGUAGUAGUGGGUGUAGCGUACCUACUAGCCUACGACGGGUACGGGUUGUGAGAGCAAGAGCCCGGAGAUGGAUUCUGAGACACGAAUCCAGGCCCUACGGGGUGCAGCAGGCGCGAAAACUUUACAAUGCUGGCAACAGCGAUAAGGGAACCUCGAGUGCCAGGUUACAAAUCUGGCUGUCGAGAUGCCUAAAAAGCAUUUCAUAGCAAGGGCCGGGCAAGACCGGUGCCAGCCGCCGCGGUAACACCGGCGGCUCGAGUGGUAACCGUUAUUAUUGGGUCUAAAGGGUCUGUAGCCGGCCGGAUAAGUCUCUUGAGAAAUCUGGCAGCUUAACUGUCAGGCUUUCAGGAGAUACUGUCUGGCUCGAGGCCGGGAGAGGUGAGAGGUACUUCAGGGGUAGGGGUGAAAUCUUGUAAUCCUUGAAGGACCACCAGUGGCGAAGGCGUCUCACCAGAACGGACCUGACGGCAAGGGACGAAAGCUAGGGGCACGAACCGGAUUAGAUACCCGGGUAGUCCUAGCCGUAAACGAUACUCGCUAGGUGUCGGCCACGGUGCGACCGUUGUCGGUGCCGUAGGGAAGCCGUGAAGCGAGCCACCUGGGAAGUACGGCCGCAGGCUGAAACUUAAAGGAAUUGGCGGGGGAGCACCACAACGGGUGGAGCUUGCGGUUUAAUUGGAUUCAACGCCGGAA
rnacentral:rRNA from 1 species